AUUGAACGCUGGCGGCAUGCCUUACACAUGCAAGUCGAACGGUAACAGGUCUUCGGAUGCUGACGGGUGGCGAACGGGUGAGUAAUACAUCGGAACGUGCCUAGUAGUGGGGGAUAACUACUCGAAAGAGUGGCUAAUACCGCAUGAGAUCUACGGAUGAAAGCAGGGGAUCGCAAGACCUUGUGCUACUAGAGCGGCCGAUGGCAGAUUAGGUAGUUGGUGGGAUAAAAGCUUACCAAGCCGACGAUCUGUAGCUGGUCUGAGAGGACGAUCAGCCACACUGGGACUGAGACACGGCCCAGACUCCUACGGGAGGCAGCAGUGGGGAAUUUUGGACAAUGGGCGCAAGCCUGAUCCAGCAAUGCCGCGUGCAGGAUGAAGGCCUUCGGGUUGUAAACUGCUUUUGUACGGAACGAAAAGCCCUGGGUUAAUACCCUGGGGUCACGACGGUACCGUAAGAAUAAGCACCGGCUAACUACGUGCCAGCCGCCGCGGUAAUAC
rnacentral:rRNA from 1 species